CAUGAUGCUUGUCCCAACUUCCAUCCCCAGGAGACUGUAGAGCUGUUGCAAGCAAAGGUGAGCGCCCUAGACCUUGCAGUUUUGGAUCAAGUGGAGGCUCGGCUACAGAGUGUCCUGGGAAAGGUGAACGAGAUUGCCAAGCAUAAAGCCUCUGUAGAAGAUGCAGAUACACAAAGCAAGGUCAGGAAGACACCUUCCCCAUCUCCUUUCCACUCCCUCAGGUUCUCCGAGUGGCAGUGUCAAAGCAUGAGAACACACUGACUCCUCAGGUCCCCAUCUUCAUAAGCUCUUAUGAAGAGCUUAUCAGCUUGGAAAGUCAGGGCACUGCUUCCCUCUGCCCACUUGAUCCUUUCCCCCAUUACGGUGAAAUAGCAGUCUGUACAUACUGACCUGGCUGCCUCAGCCAUCCCCUCUGGGCCCCAUUGUGUCCCUUCAGGUGCACCAGCUAUAUGAAACUAUACAGCGCUGGAGCCCCAUUGCCUCCACCCUCCCUGAGCUGGUGCAGAGACUUGUCACCAUCAAGCAGCUGCACGAGCAAGGUGGGAGGCCAGCUGCCAGGAGUGCUAAGAGAAGUUGAAAAAUGGGCAACUUUUGGUCCCCUCCCUUAUCUUGGAUUCAAGUCUCAACCAUACUUUUCUUUUGUAGCCAUGCAGUUUGGUCAGCUCCUGACACACUUGGAUACCACCCAGCAGAUGAUUGCUAAUUCCUUGAAGGACAAUACCACCCUCUUGACCCAGGUGCAGACAACCAUGCGUGAAAACCUGGCCACAGUUGAGGGGAACUUUGCCAGCAUUGAUGAACGGAUGAAGAAGCUGGGAAAGUGAGCACAUUUGGGAGCUGGAGAACAGGGGUUAUCCCUACCCCUGUGAACUCUGUUAACAGCUUACAUAGGGUUUCCCCUUUACUAUAACUCUAGCAUCCCCAUCCCAUUUGACACUGGGGGCAAGGGUUCUUCUUGCAUGUGGGGUUUAUACCCCUCCCCUGAUGAAUACAGAGUGGUAGCUAGGGGUUGGUUAUCAUCAGAAGGUGGUCUCCCCUCAGGCCUGGGGGAUAAGGACGUGGGCCCAGCCACAUGCCAACUCAUGUCCAAUACUGCUUUGCCUGGUGUGGGGAAGGAUUGGGUCUUGUCCCCCAACACAGCUUCUGUGGCUGACUGUAAUACUGUACAACUGUUUCUGACCAUUAAAUGCUGUUGUACUCU
rnacentral:lncRNA from 1 species